GUUACCUGCGAUAUUGAAGUUUUCGGUUUUCGUUUAUAAUUUUCCGAGUACGAAUGUGCACGCUUUCCACGACGAUGGCAUGAUAGAUACGCGUGUUAUUGUUUUUAUUAUUCGACUUUCGUUUUCGAACGAAACUUCCAUAAUAUAUAUUAUUAUGUAAACGAUCGUCUCUCUCUCUAUAAUAUACCUACAUAAUAUAAUAUAAUAAAUGCCAAUAAAUGCGAUCACGUGACGACUGGGAAUUUAUUUCGUGUAUCCGUCGAAAAAAUGACUCGUGUCUGUUUUUUUUUUUUUUUUUUUUAAUGUUUUUUCGAUUUUCUUCGAAACAAUAUAAUAAUACUUUUUGUUUUUCUCGAUAGAAUAAUCGAGCAAACGGUAUAACUCAUUGGGAAAAGCUGCUCGUGAGUGUGCCACUGUUUUAAGAGGAUAGGAUAUAUAUAGCGAGUGAAUUUAAUGCAUAUAAUAUAGUGAUAUACCUUUGCGAACGGAAAACGAUUCUAAACAGAAUAUUUCGCGCUUGUUCUCGCGAGGUGACCCGGAUAUCGUCAAAAAUUUUACAAACAAAUUUGCCGGUAUUAACCAUUUUUAUCGAGAAAUCUAAAAAACUGACUUCCACGACGCGCUAAGCUGCAGACCAAAAAUGCUACUAGAAAGUUCUUGUAACGCAUUUGGUUGGAGCAAGGUUUCUGGCAAAAAAAAAAAAGAAAAGAAAAAAAAGUCGUUUAAAGACGAAAACAAAUCGUAGUAAAACUUGCAAUACAUCCGCCCCGAAUCCAAAAUAUAAUGUUAAUGUUUUCGUUGAAUUUACAAAAAUCUAUAAACGCGUAUUAUUACGCGUGUUUUAUACGGUCGAAUGCGGAUCAUAGACCGCCGCGGCGGUGAGUUGACGGCACUAAACGUUACGCUUUUGUUACGAAAAUCGCGUAUACUGGUUAUUAAUUAAAAAAAAAACAAAAAAAAAAAAAAAAAAAAAAAAAAAAAAAUAAUAAUAAAAAGCUCGUUUAUAUAGCCGCCGUUUCGUUAUAAUAGUAUAAUAUAUGCGCACGUACUCGGUAAUUAUACCCGGAAGCGGGAACGCGAUCCGCUCGUGCGUUGGUGAUUUUUUUUUUUCGUACGAAUUUUACAUAUUUUUCUUCGGUACCUAAUUAUAUGUAAAAAAAAAAAAAAAAAAAAAAACCACAAACGAUAUUUGGCUUUUUUUUCCAUUCUUUUGCACCGGUC